rnacentral:rRNA from 1 species
AGGACGAACGCUGGCGGCGUGCUUAACACAUGCAAGUGGAGCGACGAACCAGGGCUUGCCCUGGGGCAGAGCCGCGAACGGGUGAGUAACACGUGGGUUACCUGCCUUGAUGACCGGGACAACCCGAGGAAAACUCGGGCUAAUACCGGAUGUGCCCGCAAGGGGAAAGGAAGCUUCGGCCUCCGCAUCAAGAUGGGCCCGCGGCCCAUUAGCUUGUUGGUGAGGUAACGGCUCACCAAGGCUUCGAUGGGUAGCUGGUCUGAGAGGACGAUCAGCCACACUGGGACUGAGACACGGCCCAGACUCCUACGGGAGGCAGCAGUGGGGAAUCUUGCGCAAUGCGCGAAAGCGUGACGCAGCAACGCCGCGUGGGGGAAGAAGGCUUUCGGGUUGUAAACCCCUUUCAGUUGGGACGAAGCUUCUCCGGUAAAUAGCCGGACGGAGUGACGGUACCUUCACAAGAAGCACCGGCUAACUACGUGCCAGCAGCCGC